AAGAGUAGAGCUAACCAGCGCCUCAUUUACAAUGAGGAGUUUCUUUCAGAUGCUCUUU
rnacentral:tRNA from 1 species